GAUGAAGAACGUAGCGAAAUGCGAUAAGUAAUGCGAAUUGCAGAAUUCCAGUGAGUCAUCGAGUCUUUGAACGCACAUUGCGCCCUCUGGUAUUCCGGAGGGCAUGCCUGUCCGAGCGUCAUUGCUGCCCUCAAGCACGGCUUGUGUGUUGGGCUCCGUCCUCCUUCCGGGGGACGGGCCCGAAAGGCAGCGGCGGCACCGCGUCCGGUCCUCAAGCGUAUGGGGCUUUGUCACCCGCUUUGUAGGACUGGCCGGCGCCUGCCGAUCAACCAAACUUUUUUCCAGGUUGACCUCGGAUCAGGUAGGGAUACCCGCUGAACUUAAGCAUAUCAAUAAGCGGAGGA
rnacentral:misc_RNA from 1 species